UACGUAGGCAGCGAGCGUUGUUCGGAGUUACUGGGCGUAAAGGGUGUGUAGGCGGUCCUCUAAGUUUGGUGUGAAAUCUCCCGGCUUAACCGGGAGGGUGCGCCGAAAACUGGAGGGCUAGAGUGUGGAAGGGGCGAUUGGAAUUCCGUGUGUAGCGGUGAAAUGCGUAGAUAUACGGAGGAACACCAGGGGCGAAGGCGGAUCGCUGGGCCAACACUGACGCUGAUGCGCGAAAGCUAGGGGAGCAAACGGG
rnacentral:rRNA from 1 species